UACAUACUCCCUCCGUCCAAAAAGACUUGUCAUCAAAAUGGAUAAAAAGAGAUGUAUCUAGAACUAAAAUACAUCUAGAUACAUUCUUUUUUAUCCAUUUUGAUGACAAGUAUUUCCGGAUGGAGGGAGUACUAU
rfam:Triticum aestivum genome assembly, contig: Triticum_aestivum_CS42_TGACv1_scaffold_131586_2BL